rnacentral:rRNA from 1 species
AGCUCCAAUAGCGUAUAUUAAUGUUGUUGCAGUUAAAAAGCUCGUAGUUGAAUUUCUGGACUAAACUUUCGGUCCGAGGCCUUCGUGCCUUGUGUACUGUCUCUGUUUAGUUCAUCUUAGUAGUGAGUGUAUCGGGCCUUCAUUGGUCUGAUUCAGGAGCUGCUUCGUUUACUGUGAAUAAAAUAGAGUGUUUAAAGCAGGCAUUACGCCUUGAAUACUUCAGCAUGGAAUAAAAAGAUAGGACUUUGGUGCUAUUUUAUUGGUUUGCACACCAAGUAAUGAUUAAUAGGGAUAGUUGGGGGUAUUCAUAUUUGAUUGUCAGAGGUGAAAUUCUUGGAUUUAUGAAAGAUGAACUUAUGCGAAAGCAUUUAUCAAGGAUGUUU